AUGGCUACGUUCGCGACGUCGACGGCGGCGGUCAUGGGAUCGGCUCGCCCGGGGCGGGUGGCCGGGCCUCGGCGGUGCGUGGCGGCGCAGGCGUCCUCGACGAUUGCGGCGGUGGCCGUGGGGAGGACGCACUACGAGGUGCUCGGGGUGGGCUCCGGGGCCAGCAGGGGCGAGAUCAAGGCAGCGUACCGGCGGCUGGCGCGGGAGGUGCAACCGGACGCUGCUGUUGGCGGUGGCGAUGAGGGGUUCAUCCGGCUGCAUGCGGCCUACGCCACGCUGGCCGACCCCGACGAGCGCACGCGCUACGACCGGGACGUGGCCUGCCGCGCCGCGGGGAUGAUGAUGCGGCGGGCGGCUGUGGCCGGGCCGGCAUUCUGGCGGAGGACGUGGGAGACAGACCAGUGCUGGUAG
rnacentral:rRNA from 1 species